rnacentral:rRNA from 1 species
GACGAACGCUGGCGGCGUGCCUAAUACAUGCAAGUCGAGCGGACUGAUUAAGAGCUUGCUCUUAUGACGUUAGCGGCGGACGGGUGAGUAACACGUGGGCAACCUGCCCUGUAGAUCGGGAUAACACCGAGAAAUCGGUGCUAAUACCGGGUAAUAUCUGAGAUCACAUGAUCUUAGGUUAAAAGAUGGCUCCGGCUAUCACUACAGGAUGGGCCCGCGGCGCAUUAGCUAGUUGGUAAGGUAAUGGCUUACCAGGGCGACGAUGCGUAGCCGACCUGAGAGGGUGAUCGGCCACACUGGGACUGAGACACGGCCCAGACUCCUACGGGAGGCAGCAGUAGGGAAUCCUCCGCAAUGGACGAAAGUCUGACGGAGCAACGCCGCGUGAGUGAUGAAGGGUUUCGGCUCGUAAAGCUCUGUUGUUAGGGAAGAAACAGUACCGAACGAACUAGGUCGGUACCUUGACGGUACCUAACCAGAAAGCCACGGCUAACUACGUG